UACGUAGGGUCCGAGCGUUGUCCGGAAUUACUGGGCGUAAAGAGCUCGUAGGUGGUUUGUCGCGUUGUUCGUGAAAACUCACAGCUUAACUGUGGGCGUGCGGGCGAUACGGGCAGACUGGAGUACUGCAGGGGAGACUGGAAUUCCUGGUGUAGCAGUGAAAUGCGUAGAGAUCAUGAGGAACACCGGUGGCGAAGGCGGGUCUCUGGGCCGAUACUGACGCUGAGGAGCGAAAGCGUGGGGAGCGAACAGG
rnacentral:rRNA from 1 species